GCCAGACUCCUACGGGAGGCAGCAGUGAGGAAUAUUGGUCAAUGGGCGAGAGCCUGAACCAGCCAAGUCGCGUGAAGGAUGACGGCCCUACGGGUUGUAAACUUCUUUUGUCAGGGAGCAAUUGAGUCCACGUGUGGGCUUAGCGAGAGUACCUGAAGAAAAAGCAUCGGCUAACUCCGUGCCAGCAGCCGCGGUAAUACGGAGGAUGCGAGCGUUAUCCGGAUUUAUUGGGUUUAAAGGGUACGUAGGCGGGCUGUUAAGUCAGCGGUCAAAUGUCGGGGCUCAACCCCGGCCUGCCGUUGAAACUGGCGGCCUCGAGUGGGCGAGAAGUAUGCGGAAUGCGCAGUGUAGCGGUGAAAUGCUUAGAUAUCGCGCAGAACUCCGAUUGCGAAGGCAGCAUGCCGGCUCCACACUGACGCUGAGGCACGAAAGCGUGGGUAUCGAACAGGAUUAGAUACCCCCGUAU
rnacentral:rRNA from 1 species